rnacentral:ncRNA from 1 species
UAAAAACCCCCUCAAGCAUAAAAGUUUGGUCCAAGCUUUAAAAUCAGUUAUUUCUUAACUUACACAUGCAAGUCUCCUCGACCCUGUGAGUAUACCCUCGCUUCCCUUACGGAAUGAGGAGUUGGUAUAAGGCACUUUAACUCGCCCAGAACACCUAGCAAUAGCCACACCCACAAGGGAUACAGCAGUGAUUAACAUUAGUCAUAAGUGCCAACUUGAUCUAGUCAAAGAAAUGUAAGGCCGGCAAAAUUAGUGCCAGCCGCCGCGGUUACACUAUAGGCCUAAGCUGAAUUUCAUCGGCGUAAAGCGUGGUUAAAGUGCCUUGUAAAUUAGAGUUAAAUCUUAACUGAGCAGUAGAAUGCCUGUUUCCCAGAAACUCAUAAACGAAAGUUACUCUAUUACAACAACUUGAACCCACGAUAGCCGAAAUACAAACUAGGAUCAGAUACCCUACUAUGCUUGGCCUUAAACCUUUAAUUACCCCCACCAAUCGCCUAGGAACUACGAGCAAUGCUUAAAACCUAAUGGACUUGACGGUGCCCUACAUUCACCUAGAGGAGCCUGUCCAAUAACCGAUGCUCCCCGUUCAACCUUACCGCUCCUAGCCUCUCAGCCUGUAUACCUCCGUCCCAGCUUACCAUCUGAAUGAAUCAGUAAGCUCAACCGCCACCUACUAAUACAUCAGGUCGAGGUGCAGCAAAUGGAGCGGGAAGAGAUGGGCUACACUCUCUAUCUUAGAAGACACGAAAGGUCAAAAUGCAAUCUAACCAGAAGGUGGAUUUAGUAGUAAAAAGAAAAUAGAGUAUUCUUUUUAACUCGACACUGGGGUGUGUACACACCGCCCGUCACCCUCUUCAAAUUAUAUCAAUAGUACUUAACAAAACUUUUCCUAAAGAAGAGGUAAGUCGUAACAUGGUAAGCGCACCGGAAGGUGUGCUUGGUAA